UCACACAAGAAACCCAAAUUAAUUGUACACGGCGUAAAGAGUGGACCCAUGAUUAUCGCAAUAAUUAAGGCUAAAACGUAACUGAGCUGUCAUAAGCUUAAGACACAUUUAAAACCACCCUAAAAACGACCUUAACUCUCACGAUCAAUUAAAUUCCACGAAAGCCAGGGCACAAACUGGGAUUAGAUACCCCACUAUGCCUAGCCCUAAAUCUCGAUGCUUGCCCCACUAAAGCAUCCGCCUGAGAACUACGAGCACAAACGCUUAAAACUCUAAGGACUUGGCGGUGCCCCAAACCCACCUAGAGGAGCCUGUUCUGUAAUCGACAACCCACGAUGCACCCGACCACUUCUUGCCAAAACAGCCUACAUACCGCCGUCGCCAGUUCACCUCCACUGAGAGCACAGCAGUGAACACAAUUGCCCUAACCCCGCCAGCACGACAGGUCAAGGUAUAGCCUAUGAAGUGGAAGAAAUGGGCUACAUUUUCUAACUUAGAAUACCCCUACUAAACGAAAGGGAGCGUGAAAUAUCUCCCAGAAGGCGGAUUUAGCAGUAAAGCGGGAUAAUAAAGCCCCCUUAAAACCGGCUCUGAGGCACGUACAUACCGCCCGUCACCCUCCUCACAAGCCUUAAGUUCUUAUAAAUAAUACACCCACCUGCCAAAGAUGAGGUAAGUCGUAACAAGGUAAGUGUACCGG
rnacentral:rRNA from 1 species